CGCCUGGGUGGCUCAGUCGGUUAAGCGUCCAACUUCGGCUCAGGUCAUGAUCUCACGGUCCGUGAGAUCGAGCCCUGCGUCGGGCUCUGUGCUGACAGCUCAGAGCCUGGAGCCUGUUUCAGAUUCUGUGUCUCCCUCUCUCUCUGCUCCUCCCCUGUUCAUGCUCUGUCUCUCUCUGUCUCAAAAAUAAAUAAACGUUAAAAAAAAUUAAAAAAAAAAAGACAAUAAUUGUGGUUCCUGAUUGGGAGAGCUGCCUGAAAUAUUAGGUGUCUAUCUGCCUCCUUUUCCUGCUGUGUUUCUAUUUUAUUACCAUCAUUUUUAUUUCUGCCUCUUGAACCACAUCAUGGUUUUUCCAGUUCUGAUGCAAUAGUGUCACUUGAAUAGCAUUUGACUGUUGUAGAUCUACUAAGUAGAGGGUCAUUUAGUUAAACUGAUUAUUUGUGACUGGUGAUUUUAUUAUCUCUCUUUAGAGCUCUAUUUGAAUGAUGCUCUCAGAGGAUCAUUCUUGGAUUCAAGGUCAUGAUGGACCACAUGGAUCAGACCUUAAUUAGGAGAAGGAAUAAAAAAAAUGGACACAUACUUAUUAAGCACCUGCUGUGUGCCAGAUGACAUGUUAGGUACCUUCACAGCAGAUUUUUCUUCACAAACAGCAACUGAAUGAUCUUCAUUAUUUUACACAUUUGUUCUCUUUAUUUAUUCAUGCCUUCCUUUGGUCCUUGGAAUUCUUAACAGCAAACAGAGCUUCCAGAAAUACAUUGGAUGAUAUGACACAUCUUUUAAUCCACCUGGGUGCUAUUUUUACUUAAAAUAAAUGUCAUUUCCAUUAUGUGAAGUGAACUAAAUUUUAUUUCAAUCCCUCUCCUUGGGAAUGAGUGUCUCAUAGCAGGGAUCCAGAUUUACAAGGUGCAGAUUGACGGAAACCUCAGACUGACUUUACACCCUCUUAUUUGUGGAGUGAAGUCAGCGUCCUCACUCCAGCUGCACACUACACUGCCUUCUUCUGGUGUGAUGGUCAUCGAAUGUGCUAAAACAAAUGUGGAGCACAUUUCAUGUGAAAGAACUCAGAGCUGCUGUAGUUAACCUUCUGCUCUGACAGGAUAUGGUGGGACAAAAAAAUCAAAAGCGGGGCCUUGUCACUGCAGAUCACAGUGGGUGUCAGGCAAGGUGCUGGGGUCUUUGCCAAAAUUAUCUCAAAUAGAGGCGCCCGGAUGGCUCAGUUGGUUGAGCAUCCAACUUCAGCUCAGGUCGUGAUCUCACAGUUUGUGAGUUCAAGCCCCACAUCAGGCUUGCUGUUGUCAGCCUGUCAGUGCAGACCCCACUUCAGAUCCUCUGUCCCCCUCUCUCUGCCCCUCCCCCUGCUUGUGCCCUCCCCAAAACUAAAUAUUUUUUAAAAAUAUAUAAAUUAUCUCAAACACUCACUUCAACUCUGACACAGAAGAAUCCACUCUAUUUUAUGGGCUAGGAAACUAAGAGUUAAGGUUAACCGAUCACCCUAAGGCCUUAGGGCUCAGCAGUCCUAACACUGGGGUACCCAGCAGCCCCCUCCCCAAACACCCACAGGCUCUUUCCACUGUUGGUGUAAUGGUGUUAUCACUGUGAACAGGCAAGAGGAGCCGUGCGGUGGCCUUGGUGCCUACAAGGGACGAUUGGAGAAUGCUGGUGUCAUCUUUGUUAUUUGUGUCUGGACAGACUAAGGCCCUGCCCCGCCUGUCCCUUUAGCAAACCAGUUUUGCAUCUAUCAUCUGUGAACCCAUUAAAUAUUUAGCUGAUGCUAUCUUUGAAGGUAAUUGAUUCCUUACCCUAUCAGGCACCAAGUGUUGUCGUUCUUACUUUUAUUUGUCCUGAGUGUGCUUCCUUCAAUCAAUCUAGGAUCUGGAGAACUAGACUGAGGUUACCCUAUCCACUGUCUUUAUCAUUUCAGAGAUGUGGGUUGUUGAAUUAUUGAAAUGUCUGUGUUAGACCAAAAAAAAAAAAAAAAGUAAUCAUCUGGACAUUUAUCACAAUUAAGCUUCAGUUACUAAUAUUAUUAUUCAGGCAGUGACAGAUGGAUUCUAGUAACCUCCAGACCUCCACCUACUUAAUUGGUCCCAGAAUUAUAAAGGACUACUCAUAUUUCUGCAGCCUACAUGAUAGACUUGGAAGAAGAAAUCUAGCAUUUCAGUCUAGGCUCAAUGAAAACUAUUAUAGGCUUAGCAUCCAGAAAUUAAAUGAUGUUAGGUGAAUAGAGAAAAUAAGUCAGGCUUUGGGUAAGUAAAAAUCUGAAUUGACAUUGGAAAAGUGAGCACAGGUACUCAAGAGUAUAAUUUUCCCAGCUUCAUGUUCUCAUGACCAUCAACACCAACAACAGCAUAGGUAGCUCGGAGAGUAUAAAGGCUUACACAGAUUCUCAAGUAGGACUCUAUUACAAAUGCAGAAGCAUGCCUGCUGUUUGUGGUGUUUCCGUGCCGAAGCCUUUCUGCAUUUGUAUAUAUAUGUGUGCUUGCCAGUUUAGAGAGCUGCUGUGUGCUUGGACCCGUAUGGAACAUGCAGGAUCACUUUUAUUUGACAUGAAAGAGCUCUCCCCCUCUGCAGUCGCAUCACUAGGACCUGGAAAAUGAGACUCUAGCUCCCGUGCCCGUCCUCCUUAGGGGUGAUGGAUGGACACCCUUAGAACGAGACAUCAUUGACUCACCAGCAACAAAGCUCCACUUUCCUGAGUGCCUCCGAAGAGAGAAGUGUUGUUGUAAAACCUGCUUCCCCCUUUUUCUGCCAAGUGCAGGCCAGUUGAAGGAGCAGCAAGGAGCAGCAAUUGUUGAUGGAGACGGCGUUUACAGGCUGAGCCUUUCUGCUGCUUCCUCUGCCGCGGCAGUGGGGAGGAUCGGGUCUUCCCUGACAGCGUCUGAGGGGAGCAUUCGCGGAGGACGUGAAUGAGGAAGGAAAGAAAAGACUCAGCAUUCUAGGGCAAGGAGAGGCUUGUGGCCACAUGGUAUGUUUUGGAGAACACGUGACUAAAUUGCUAAGGUGACCAGAGGCCCCGGUGUAAAGUGACAGACUCAGUCUCAAGCAGGACAUUCAUCAUCUCUAAAUUCGGGAGAACGCCUACUCUUCAAUCUUCCUGUCACCAAGUUUGAACUUCAGGAUCUGAGGCUGCCCAGAGGCCAUAGAUCAAUCUCCUUGCCCGCCACCUCGGCAGUGUCUGGAAGGCCACUAUUUUCAAGAUGGCGAAGGCUGCAAAAGUGUAGCGUCUCUCUGCCACACCAGAUCCAUAGAUCAAGUGGCAGGAACCAGUGGAGUAAAAACAUAGCUAGAGAGAUGCUGCAGCCUAGGAAAUGAGUGCAAAGCUGUUCCCUGGAAGAUCAGUCGGGACAUAGAUGCUUCACACCUUUGCCUUGCAAAACCUUAGGAAAGGGGCACGGGCUAUAAAUAAGAAAUUUAUAGGGAAGGGGUGUUGGGUGGCUCAGCUGGUUAAGCGAACGACUUGAGCUCAGGUCGUGAUCUCACGUUCAUGAGUUCGAGCCCUGCAUUAGGCUUUCUUUUGUCUGCACAGAGCCAGCUUCGGAUCCUCGGUCCCCCUCUCUCUGCCCCUCUACCACUUGCACUCUCCCAAAAAUAAAGAAAAAGUAAAAAAAGAAAAAAAUUUACAGGGAAACAAUACCUAUGGCUAAAACUACAAGCCACACUAGUGACGUGUGCGUGUUCAUGUGUCUUGUGGUUGCCGUCUCCCUGUGGCCCAGCACCGUAUUUGGAACACAAUGGGUACUCCAUAGAUUGCUGGUGAAUACAUGGACGGUUUCUGAUUCUGGGUGGUUAGGGGCCUUUGCAGACUCUCUCCACCCUGAAAUCCUUAUUCUAACUGGCAGUGGAUUGGGGUUAAAAUAUAAAUGUAUCACCAUACAUUAAAAAAAUACCACAAGUGAAGGAUUUGUGAUUUUAACCUGAUAUUUGUGAAUUGCUUUAAUCAUGCAGACAUACAACUGGAAAUUUCUCAAUGAGGACCAUUCUUAGAAGAAAGGGGAACUUGGUAAAGUUCUUCUGAAAAAGAGGUUUUAAAAGCCAAAACCAGGGGCGCCUGGGUGGCUCAGUCGGUUGAGCGUCCGACUUCAGCUCGGGUCAUGAUCUCACAGUCUGUGAGUUCGAGCCCCGCGUCGGGCUCUCUGCUGACAGCUCAGAGCCCGGAGCCUGUUUCAGAUUCCGUGUCUCCCUCUCUCUCUGACCCUCCUCCAUUCAUGCUCUCUCUCUGUCUCAGAAAUAAAUAAACAUUAAAAAAAAUUU